rnacentral:lncRNA from 1 species
AGUGUCCUGAUAUGGAAGAUGAAUUAUAAAAUCACUCUACUUACACAUAAUGAGGAAUGAUCACAAUGUGUGAUUAUUUUCUUCAAUUAUUGGCUUAAUCACUUAGUGUUGCACUUUCACACUAGAAAUCUUUAUGCUUCAGGAGAGUAAGGACCGCAAUACUUUACUGCCGAGACCCGGUCACAAAGGCCCAUUCUCCCUCUUGUAGCCCACAGUGGCAGGUCAAAGAAGAAACUAGAGUUUAAUCAGAGCAGAACAUAAACCGGAGAUUCUGGAGCUGGAAAAAAAAAUAGCCUGAUAACUGGUACAAGAUGCAAUAUGAUGGAAAGCAAAGUAAUCUAGCAGGAAGGAAAAAAAAAGGAACUCGUAGAAGCUAAAACAAAGCAAAGAAAGGAAGAAGGGUUUAAAACUGCUACUUAUAUUCACAGAAUAAGAAGAAGACGUCAUCUAUACGUAAACAAGAAGAUGCCAUUAAAUUUAGUGAAGGGGAGCAGAAUUUGCCACCACAAAAUAUGUCUCUUUGGCAUAGGGAUUCUUUUGGGCUGAUUAUUUUUAAGAAGCAACAGACAUAGGAAAAGCUCUGAAAGCUGAGUACGUUAUCCUUUUGUAAGAGCAAUUUACAUUUAUAAGGGAAGUCUCCAUU